UUGAUUAUGCUGAAUUCUGUUCUUACUUACAGAGCGAGAGGGCGAGGAGAAUAUUUGUAAGAAGAUCUGGCAGCCAGGGCAAUGCUCUUCGUUAUUAACAAAAUACACAUACGAUAAGGACUCGGGAUCCUGCCAGCCGAUGUUAUAUAACGGUUGCCUGGGAAACAGGAACAGUUUCGACUCCAUACAUGAAUGUACAGCAGCAUGCAUCGUUGAACGAAGAAGACGAUCUGUUAGAAAUUCUACACAAGAACAAAAACCUAAACACUUAAAAGAUCUCCUUCACAAGAGUUUCCACCAUAUUAGAAGACACGUUAGCUAUAAAUAGAUCACCAUAGUAACCAUUACCAUAGCAACAAGGAGAAUAUGCUGCCGAAGGUGGCGCUCCGUUGUCAAAGUUUUAUUCUUGUAAAGAUUUAUACGGACUGUAGUCAAAGGUUAAGGAACAUUGACUGAUACAUGUAUUUUUGUUUUAAAAGAAGAAUAUAUAAAUUCAUAAAUUAGAGAGAUAAUAUAGAUUUCGAGAGCCUGAGACGAAAAAUUAAGGAGGCUCCAAACUUAAAAAAUAAGUGAUUUCCAAAAUCACAGAAUGAUUUAAUUUUAUUAAGAAGAUAUUUCUCUUUGAAUAAUAUUUUAAUUGAAUUAUUUUAAUUUGCAUACAUUGAAGCGGUUAUAGUAGAUGACACAGUCGUCGAAAUGUAAUCGAUUUAUAUUCGUUGAUCGUUUAGCGAUGUAUUAUCGAUUCACUGAAUAGAAGUCAAUUUUACAUUGAAAAUAUCAAUCAAUUAUUGUGCAUGCGAUAAAGUGGUGCAAAUUUAGAGUACGUCUUCCACUUUGUAAAAUGAUGUUAUGUAGUUAUGAUUGUUUUUAAAUUCAUUACUAGAAUACAAACACUUAAAAUGUAAAACAAGACUACAACAAAAUAGUGCUAAAUUACUAUUUAUCGUUUUCUAUUGUUUAUUUUGCACUAUUUUCAACUAAAUAGUAAAGCUUAACGUUGUACGUUUUGAGUGUUUGUAUUAUAGUAAAUUGCUAAAAUAUAGAGUGUAGAUGAUAUGUUGUCUAGUUAAGUCUUUUUAAAUAAAGUGGAACUGUUAGUUCAUU